AUUGAACGCUGGCGGCAUGCUUUACACAUGCAAGUCGAACGGUAACAGGGAGCUUGCUCCGCUGACGAGUGGCGAACGGGUGAGUAAUGCGUCGGAACGUGCCGAGUAGUGGGGGAUAACGCAUCGAAAGGUGUGCUAAUACCGCAUACGAACUGAGGUUGAAAGUGGGGGACCUUCGGGCCUCACGCUAUUCGAGCGGCCGGCGUCUGAUUAGCUAGUUGGUGAGGUAAAGGCUCACCAAGGCGACGAUCAGUAGCGGGGCUGAGAGGAUGGUCCGCCACACUGGGACAGAGACACAGCACAGACUCCUACGGGAGGCAGCAUUGGGGAAUUUUGGACAAUGGGCGCAAGCCUGAUCCAGCCAUGCCGCGUGUCUGAAGAAGGCCUUCGGGUUGUAAAGGACUUUUGUCCGGGAGCAAAUGCUGGUGGCUAACAUCCACCGGAGCUGAGAGUACCGGAAGAAUAAGCACCGGCUAACUACGUGCCAGCAGCCGCGGUAAUAC
rnacentral:rRNA from 1 species